UGUUUUAAUAGAGCAUUACAUUGACGUUAGUCACAGAAGAAGCACCGGCUAACUCCGUGCCAGCAGCCGCGGUAAUACGGAGGGUGCGAGCGUUAAUCGGAAUGACUGGGCGUAAAGGGCACGCAGGCGGUGACUUAAGUGAGAUGUGAAAGCCCCGAGCUUAACUUGGGAAUUGCAUUUCAUACUGGGUUGCUAGAGUAUUUUAGGGAGGGGUAGAAUUCCACGUGUAGCGGUGAAAUGCGUAGAGAUGUGGAGGAAUACCGAAGGCGAAGGCAGCCCCUUGGGAAAAUACUGACGCUCAUGUGCGAAAGCGUGGGGAGCAAACAGGAUUAGAUACCCUGGUAGUCCACGCUGUAAACGCUGUCGAUUUGGGGAUUGGGCUUAGAGCUUGGUGCCCGUAGCUAACGUGAUAAAUCGACCGCCUGGGGAGUACGGCCGCAAGGUUAAAACUCAAAUGAAUUGACGGGGGCCCGCACAAGCGGUGGAGCAUGUGGUUUAAUUCGAUGCAACGCGAAGAACCUUACCUACUCUUGACAUCCUAAGAAG
rnacentral:rRNA from 1 species